rnacentral:rRNA from 1 species
UACGUAGGCAGCGAGCGUUGUUCGGAGUUACUGGGCGUAAAGGGUGUGUAGGCGGUUGUUUAAGUUUGGUGUGAAAUCUGCCGGCUCAACUGGGAGGGUGCGCCGAAUACUGAGCGACUAGAGUGCGGGAGAGGAAAGUGGAAUUCCUGGUGUAGCGGUGAAAUGCGUAGAUAUCAGGAGGAACACCGGUGGUGUAGACGGCUUUCUGGACCGUAACUGACGCUGAGACACGAAAGCGUGGGUAGCAAACAGG